UCCUUCAAGAUUCAAGUAUACUCUUUUUUUUAAGAAAAAAUGUAUUGAUGUGUUCUGUUUCUUUUGUCAUCAUAGUUGUCCCAAGCAUCCCUCCUUCUUGCUAUAUAAUAACUUAUCUUUUAGAGCUAGAAAAAAAGUCAACACAACUGAUUAGUACAUUUAAAAACUCUGAAAAUAUGCAAUGUGUAUCAUUUUGGAUCCCUCACCUAUGAAACAGUGGGGAUUGGGAGUAUCCUUCCAUAUAUCUUCAUUCAUAUCAAGGAUAUAGUCUUACUACAGUUGCAUGGUUUUUAAUGGAGUAACAAACAUGGUCAGCUUAUUUGUAUUUGAUGCUGGGGUUUUUUUUUUUUAUAUAUUGCAUUAAAAAUGUGGCCAAAUGACUUCUGACAAAGCUGAUUGCAUAUAUGGAAAGUAAAAAAUUCAGUUUCCAGGCCUUAAAGAUAGAGAUACAAGUAUUAUGUAAUUACUAAAUUAAAAAAAAAUGUAAAACCUCAUUUACAUUUGUUGUAUAUUAUUAUUAAUGACUUCAUAUUCAACAUGGAAUAUGGAACCAAAAAUUUAAAGACAACAAUAUUGUAAGACAUCAAGUUUGCAUAAAAUUGUUCUGUAGAAUGUUUUUUUUAUUGGGAUUAUAUCUCAAAUGAUUUUAAUUGUCCUUUAAAAAGAAAGUAACAUCAUUGUGUUUAAGAAUAUAAGGAUAUUUUGGUAUGUGCUUUAAAGCCUAGCUUCUUAAACUGUGGUCCAUUCCACCAUAUGGGGUUUUGUAACUAAAUGUAGGGGGCCACAAAAUUAUGAUUUUUAUCAGUAAAUGUUUGGUUUGUAUAUCUAUUUUAUAUACUUAUACCCAGGGUCACAUAAUAAUUUCUUGGGUGAAGAGAGGUGAUGAGUGGAAGUAGUUUAAGAAGCCCUGCUUUAAAGUACAGUCUUCCCUGGCUUAAGGGUAAUUUAUUCCUCGAAAAAUGUUGGUAGGAAAAAAAAACUAUUGAUACAAUGAAAUCUCAUUAAUGGACCAGAUAAUCAUCACUAAUUUCAAUGGGAUAAAAUUUCUUUGUGAGUCCUUAAAUAAACACCCCUUGAUAAUGAAUAUUUAUUUAUUUAACAUACAAGCCAGAAGGGGAAAAAAAUCCAGAACAAUAGAGACAAAAGAAAUUAACGAGAACAGUGAUAUCACACUCACCAAACAAGUUGGCAUCCUUUGGAAAAGUGAGAAAAUAGUUGAAAAACUGAGAAAAAAACACCAGAAUACUUUAUUCAUUUUAAGGGACAUGAUGCCCUUAGUUGCCCACUGCUACCAACUAGCAAACCACAAGCACCCUGAGAAAAGAAUAACUCAAAAGAUAUAGCUAGUUAACCUUAUACCUUUGAAGAUGACUAAUGACUGGCUUCCAUUUUCAUGUGUGCAAAAUACAAAUUUGUCUUCCUAAAUUCAGCUGAAGUGAAGUAGGAUUAGGUAUUAAAUGAACCUCCUCCUAAAGUUGAAUUCCUGCUACUAGAGUGGUCAUGUCUCAUGAGAAUAUUUGUGCUUAGCUAGUUUGUAGCAUUGAUCAUCUUGGGUGUCAUGCCCCUUAAUAUGAAGAAAAAGGGUUUCAGUGUUUUCAGGAGUGUCUCUCACUUCAUUCCUUAUUCUUCCACAGGAUGUCAGCUUGCCAUGAUGCUGGAAAUGUGGGUAAACUAUCGUCAAUAUUCCACUGAUCUAUCAAGCUAGUAAUCAGCCACAAUACACCAUGAGAAGAAUAUUAAUUUGUAAAAGAUUGGCCUUUGCUUCAGAGAGAAUUUUGGUUCAUUUAAAGAACUCUACAGCUUCCUAAAGUAAUAUAAAUGGGAGGAAUCAACAUAAGGAAAUUGAAUUCAAAAUUGUGGGAAGACCAGGCAAAGUCCUGAAAAAAGAAUAAGGAAAAGUCCAGAAGAAGGAACAAUGAAACAUCUCUGUCCUGAAAAAGAGAUCCUGUCCCUCUUCACGGCUUAUGGGAUUCCACAGGCCAAGUGGAAUGACACACUUCUCUCAUCUUCCAAAAAUUAUGCGGAACAUGGGACAGGGUCCUGGGUCCUGGGCCUUGCCAGAGAGAGCCUGAAUUACAGAAAACAACCUGGAAGCCGAGCUAUUCCCCGAGACAACAGGGAGGAGCACCGGUAGGAUUCUAAGUGCACCUUUUGAUUGAUUUAUGAUUAGGCCUUUUGUUAUCCUAAGUGAAUCUUUAUUUCAGUAAGCCCUGGUUAAAUUUCUUGUUUAAUUCUUUAUAUUGAUGAACCCUACAUUAGAUGGCCAAGUUAUGAUAUCAAUCCCCAAAGUUAUUUCUCCCCUAUAAAAGAAUCUACCCGUACCCU